AUAGGACCAUGGUCAGUAGAAGAUGGAGAAGAAAGAAGCCUCAUGUCAGGUUGCGACAAUUUACACGUGUAGGCCAAGAAUGUGGUACUGAAAACACCAGCUAUUUGCCAAUAUGAUUUUGACGUCACGUAAGGCACACUCGAAUCCAGCCUCUUUUUAUGGUACUAGCCGCCCUUGAGCUUCGGACACGCCAACAAAUUAACUCUUUUAAUUAAAAUAAGCGCACCGAGAUGGUCACAACAUGCGCCUGCCCACCACCCAGCAUUCAGGAAACCGACGCCCACUCAUGCCUGUGUUAUAUUAAAACUGAAUAAAAAAAUGUUCUGUGUUUUUUAUUUGAUAAUGAUUAGGGGGAAGGAAAAUGAUAUAAAUAUAACUGUUUUAACACUUUCAAAUUUGCUUAAUAUGAUCUAUUCAUGUUGCCGUUGGGGUAAACGGCUUUCCAAGGUACCAGGUUUUUAAAACACAAAAAGCUUUCAAAACGCGCCAUGUACUUAGCCAAAUACUUUUU